UCUCAAGCAGGUGAUAUGAGAGCAUCUCUUCUCCUCGUGCAAAUUCUGUACGUCUGCAGAUAUGUCUCGGCACAAGAUGAGGAUUAUCUAGAACUUCCAGAAGGAUUUUCUAUUGGUGCAGCAACCGCUGCUUUCCAGAUUGAAGGUGCAUGGAACACUGGCGGCAAAUCGGAAAAUGUAUGGGAUUAUCGAAUACAUAAUAAUAUAUCAUUGAGUGUGGAUAAUGGAACCGGCGAUGUAUCGUGUGACUCUUAUCACAAGUAUAAGGAAGAUGUUCAAUUGGUCAAAAAUAUUGGGUUGAAUCAUUAUCGAUUCUCCAUAAGUUGGUCACGAGUGUUACCAACUGGUUCAUCAGAUGAAAUCAACAAAGACGGAAUUCAGUAUUAUAAAAAUCUUCUUGAUGAAUGCUGGAGCAAUGGAGUCACACCUUUCGUGACACUCCAUCAUUUUGAUGAUGUACAAUCACUCAUUGAGAAAACAGGAGGAUGGUCUAAUGAAUCGAUGGUUGAAUAUUUUGCCGAUUACGCGAGAGUUAUAUUCAAAGAGCUUGGAUCUAGAGUGAAAUUCUGGAGUACAAUCAAUGAAUCUGAUGUUUUCUGCAAAGUGUGUGCUUAUCUAAAUGAGAGUGUCAUCAAUACAGCCUACAGGAAUCGUUAUCUUUGCGCACAUAAUGUGCUGAAAGCUCAUGCCCGCGCUUAUCAUAUAUAUGAUGAAGAAUUUCGGACUAUUCAAAAAGGCAAAAUUGGAUUAGUCACUAAUAGUGGAUAUUAUUUCCCAAAAUCGGAGAGGGACACAGAAAGUGUCGACCUUGCAUUUGACUUUGAAGCAGGAUGGAUAUUGAAUCCUAUAUUCUCUAAGAAUGGAGAUUAUCCAGAGGUGAUGAAGACGAGAAUCGCAGAGAAUAGUAAAGCGGAAGGAUUGACGCAUUCCCGGUUACCAGAAUUCUCCCGUGAAUGGAUUGAUUAUAUAAAAGGAACUUAUGACUACUUGGGUAUCAACCAUUACAUCCCGGCCAUGGUUGAACCAGCGAAUAAGACUGCUGAGGGAAGAUGGUAUAAUGAUGUAGGUGUCAUCUACACGAAUCAUUCUGAAUGGAAACUGACAGCAAUGGGAUGGGGAGUGGUUCCCAAAGCUAUCGGACGGCUCUUGCGGAAGAUAACGAACACUUUCAAUAAACCUACAAUCUAUAUUAUGGAAAAUGGUGUAAGUUUUCGGUCAGGUGUCAUAGAUAUUGACAGAGUUGAAUAUUUGUACUCAUACUUGAAGGAAGUAUUAUUAGCCAUUCGUGACGGAUGUGAUGUCAGAGUGUAUACUGUUUGGAGUCUGCUAGAUAAUUUCCAGUGGUUUGAUGGAUAUACGCAAACUUUUGGACUUAUUUCCGUGGAUUUUAAAGAUCCUAACCGAACGAGAACUCCUAAACUUUCUAGUUAUUGGUUGAGGACUAUCAUACAGAAGAAGAAAUUGAUUCCAUUCAACAAAACCAUGUUAAAUAUGUUGAAAUUAGAGUAUUUUUCCAAUGCAGUUACUCCCUCUCCUCACGGCUCAGUUACCCUAUAAAUAGGGCAGAGAUGGCAAGAAAUAUUGUCAGUCUUACACGGAUUUCUUAUCGUAACACUCCUGUUGACAGUUCGACACCAAUAUUGGUAUUAUAUAAUCAUUAACAAUGGCGUCAACGAAAAUGGCAGCUGCAUCUCGUUUGGAGUACAAUCCCAAAAUAUCAUUCUCUCUGGUUGAGUGUACGAAGGGUGCAAGGUUGAAGACGAUGAUUAUGCCUCACCGAUGGUUGUUUGAGGAAGAGGAACAGUGAUUCUGUUAUUGGCCUCCUCUAAUAUACACUGAACGAGAAAUUAAAAAAGCCAUCCGAGCUGGAGAUGAACCGGAAGUGAAAAAAUGGAGAGAAUAUCCAGUCAAAGUGUAUUACACUGGUAAUGCGGCAGGAUGUGAGCUCAAGGAAAAGCAGCUGAUUGAACAGGGGAGUGAUGUUUUCAAUAAGAAGGAUGCAGACGAUUCGGAAGAAGAGGUGAAUGAUGAAACUCAACUGAGUGGCGAACGAUCACCCGAGAAGACAACCGAUCAACCCAGCUACUCUUCGCCUACAUCUGAAGGAAGGUCUGAACCUCAGCCUAUGACAUCAUCGAGGAUUUUGAAGAAAAACAAAAAGAAAAUCAGGAAUGGGGGACAGAAGAGAACGGGCAAGCUUCAGCGAUGCGGUAAUUGCUUAAAAGAAAUCAGACGGUUCCAACAACGAUGGAAAUACCAGGAGAAAGUAAAUAGGAAGUUGAAUGAGAAAAUGCUGAAAAUGAUGAUGGACAUCCAAGCCAGGUUCCAAGCGAAUGCCACAACUGGCAGUAACGUCGUUGCAACUCUGAAAAUCGGUAACGUUGCCACUCCCCUCCAAACGAUCGAAGAGCUGGAGCAGGUGGAAGCCAUGUUGGACGAAGAGAAGUGUGACACAAUCAGAGGAUACUUGAAAUUUAAAAAGAGGGGAUGCUGCCAAACAACUGCAAAGGCCAUAAUGGAAGCCAUGAUGUCAAACACGCUGAUGGCAAAAUUGAAUUGGGAAGGAAAGAAACCUGGAAAGAUUGGGUUGAAAAAAAUUGCUCCGAAACUGGAAAAAGCAAUCUUGGAUGGAGCGAUUCUAGCUGUGAACAAUGUAUGGCUAGAGAAUGAACUCAAGCAUCAUCUGAUGAGAACAGUGGUACGAGCGGGUAUAACACCGAAGGGAGCCAACGCGAACCCUCAAGAGCCAAUGAUAUGAUAUGAUAUGAUGCACGA